CGGUGCUCGCAAUGCUACAUGCAAUACAGCCCUGUCCUCAGUACUGUUUAUAUGCUCUCCAUUGUACAUCCUGCCAAUCUUCUCCUUAAGACGUGCUGCCUCAGCAAGCUUGAAAAGCUUAUCCACUGUAUCUUGGCGAGCACGUUGUCGAGAAUAGUCCAACACCAACCCGUCAAACUCUACCAUCAUCGACUUGCAGCGCUCGACAUCAGUCAUCAAAUCGCGUAGAUGUGUCUUCUUAAUAUCCUCCACAUGACCCCUCAGAUCCUUCCACAGUUCCGUAUCAGAAAUCAG
rnacentral:misc_RNA from 1 species